rnacentral:rRNA from 1 species
GAUCCUGGCUCGGGAUGAACGCUAGCUACAGGCUUAACACAUGCAAGUCGAGGGGCAGCAUGUUGGUUGCUUGCAACCGAUGAUGGCGACCGGCGCACGGGUGAGUAACGCGUAUCCAAUCUACCCUUGUCCAUCGGAUAACCCGUCGAAAGGCGGCCUAACACGAUAUGCGGUUCACAGCAGGCAUCUAACGUGAACGAAAUGUGAAGGAGAAGGAUGGGGAUGCGU